rnacentral:rRNA from 1 species
UACAGAGGGUGCAAGCGUUGUUCGGAAUCAUUGGGCGUAAAGCGCGUGUAGGCGGGCAGGCAAGUCGGGUGUGAAAGCCCAGGGCUUAACCCUGGAAUUGCGCCCGAAACUGCUUGUCUUGAGUACGGGAGAGGGAAGCGGAAUUCUUGGUGUAGGGGUGAAAUCCGUAGAUAUCAGGAAGAACACCGAUGGCGAAGGCAGCUUCCUGGACCGAUACUGACGCUCAGACGCGAAAGCGUGGGGAGCAAACAGG